UGGGUUUAGAACGUCGUGAGACAGUUCGGUCCCUAUCUGCCGUGGGCGCUGGAGAACUGAGGGGGGCUGCUCCUAGUACGAGAGGACCGGAGUGGACGCAUCACUGGUGUUCGGGUUGUCAUGCCAAUGGCACUGCCCGGUAGCUAAAUGCGGAAGAGAUAAGUGCUGAAAGCAUCUAAGCACGAAACUUGCCCCGAGAUGAGUUCUCCCUGACCCUUUAAGGGUCCUGAAGGAACGUUGAAGACGACGACGUUGAUAGGCCGGGUGUGUAAGCGCAGCGAUGCGUUGAGCUAACCGGUACUAAUGAACCGUGAGGCUUAACCUU
rnacentral:rRNA from 1 species